GUCACCGUCCCUUGGAUUGCGAGACUGUUAAGAAGUGGGUUUUAAAGAACACGUCUGAGUCUGAGAAUAUGAAUUACAUACUCUCGCCUAUUGCAAGCCUUGUCCCAACUGUAAGCGACCAUAGAAAAAAACUUGGGGUGUAUGCACAUGAAUUGCAGGGUUUGUGGGCACGAUUUUUGCUGGGUAUGCCUUAGUCCAUUUUCCUAUCAUAUAACUUGUAAUGCAUAUAAGACUUCGGAUCCAGAAGCAAGAAAAUAGAGAUGGCAAAGCAAUCUCUAGAGAAAUAUACUCAUUAUUUUGAACGUUGGGAUGUCAAUAAAAAAUCCAAAGUGAAGGCUAUUGCAGAUUUCCAAAAAGUGAAAAAUGAGAAAUUCAAGCAGCUUAGUAAGAAUCUAGACAUUUCAGAGGCAUGUUUCGACUUUAUAACCAAAGCUUGGCUGCAGAUAGUAGAGUGUAGGGGAAUACUGGAGUGGAGUUAUGCGUAUAGGUACUACUUGCCUGACAAUGGGCCUGCAAAGAAGCAUUUUUUCGAGUUCUUGCAAGGGGAGGCAGAAUCCUGGCUGGAAAAGCUUCAUAAUUGUGUGGAAAGAGAGCUACAGCCAUUUCUCUAUCAUGAAAACCAGUUAAAGCAUUUCGACGAUUACAGAAGAAAUUUAAUUCAACUGGCUAUUGUGACAGAAAAUUACUUUGAGAAGCUGGUUAAAGCAUUAGAAAAUGGUCUAUCUGACGUCCAUAAGGCUAGCAGCAGCAGCUCCAAGGAUAUGUUCGAAGAUGAUUAUUGGUUUUGUGAUUGCUGUACCUAUGCCAAUCCCUUCUCUGUCAAUAAAUGCCAAAUGUGUACGCCUGAUGAUUAUGAAGGGGCUUGAUUAGCAUAUAUAGGGCUACGAGUUAAGUCAAAUUGCUGUAAUAGGGCCAUUGUCU
rnacentral:misc_RNA from 1 species